rnacentral:rRNA from 1 species
UACAGGGGGUGCAAACGUUGCUCGGAAUCAUUGGGCGUAAAGCGCACGUAGGCGGUCUGUUAUGUCUGAUGUGAAAGCCCUUGGCUCAACUGAGGAAGUGCAUCCGAAACUGGCAGGCUAGAGUACUAAAGAGGAUCGCGGAAUUCCCGGUGUAGAGGUGAAAUUCGUAGAUAUCGGGAGGAACACCGGUGGCGAAGGCGGCGAUCUGGGUAGAUACUGACGCUGAGGUGCGAAAGCGUGGGGAGCAAACAGG